rnacentral:lncRNA from 1 species
GCACACACAAAUAUAACACAAUUAACCAUAUUUUUUUUAAUAUACAACAAUUAUAAUGAUAUCAAAUGUAUAUGUUUUAUUACAAUUGCAAUGCUUACUUAAUAGUUAAUCUAAAUGGCUCAGCAUAAAAUUGUAGCAUGUUCAUGGUUCUCAUACAAAAAAUACAAAAUAAAACAGAUAUAAAGCCAAGGCUCUGUGUUGAAGGCCGUACAUUGACCUAUUUAUAAUAAUGGUUUACUUUUAUAAAAUGUUAUUUAGAUGGAGAUGUGUCUCAUUGGCACUCACACCACAGCUUCCUAUAUCUAUAAAUAAAAUACAGGGAACAAACUUUUAACAAGAGAAAA